rnacentral:rRNA from 1 species
CGGAAGGUCCGGGUAAUCUUGUGAAACUUUGUCGUGCUGGGGAUAGAGCAUUGCAAUUAUUGCUCUUCAACGAGGAAUGCCUAGUAAGCGCAAGUCAUCAGCUUGCGUUGAUUACGUCCCUGCCCUUUGUACACACCGCCCGUCGCUACUACCGAUUGAAUGGCUUAGUGAGGUCUUCGGAUUGGCUUUGAGGACCCGGCAACGGGAUUUCGUUGCUGAGAAGUUGAUCAAACUUGGUCAUUUAGAGGAAGUAAAAGUCGUAACAAGGUUUCCGUAGGUGAACCUGCGGAAGGAUCAUUAAUGAAACUUCAAGUCGGCCGUUCUGUGCUGGUGGAAACACAUGUGCACGUUCAGUCGCAAUCCACACACCUGUGCACUUUGACUCUGAGCACCGCCGGUAACACGGCAGAAGGUUCUUAGGACUAAGGUCUGAACCCGGUACUCGAGUAUUUUACACACUCUGAAUGUAAUGGAAUGUCACUGUACAAUGUACAAUUAUAAACAACUUUCAACAACGGAUCUCUUGGCUCUCGCAUCGAUGAAGAACGCAGCGAAAUGCGAUAAGUAAUGUGAAUUGCAGAAUUCAGUGAAUCAUCGAAUCUUUGAACGCACCUUGCACCCUUUGGUAUUCCGAAGGGUACACCCGUUUGAGUGUCAUUGUAAUCUCACUUCAAUAACUUUGUUGUUGAAUGUGGACUUGGAUGUUGUCGUGUUCAACGACUCAUCUUAAAUGCCUGAGUGUACCCUGCUUUGCAGCGUAUCAGUGUGAUAAACAUCUUCACUGUUAAGUCUUUCGAGACACGCUUGUGUUGUGGGCUCUAUGCUUCUAACCGUCUUUGGACAAUCUCUGACAAUUUGACCUCAAAUCGGGUGGGACUACCCGCUGAACUUAAGCAUAUCAAUAAGCGGAGGAAAAGAAACUAACAAGGAUUCCCCUAGUAACGGCGAGUGAAGAGGGAAAAGCUCAAAUUUUGAAUCUGGUGUCUUUGACUCCCGAGUUGUAAUCUAGAGAAGUGUUUUCCGCGUUGGACCGUGCACAAGUUCCCUGGAACGGGGCGUCAUAGAGGGUGAGAAUCCCGUAUAUGGCACGGACUACCAUCGCUAUGUGAUACACUCUCAACGAGUCGAGUUGUUUGGGAAUGCAGCUCAAAAUGGGUGGUAAAUUCCAUCUAAAGCUAAAUAUUGGCGAGAGACCGAUAGCGAACAAGUACCGUGAGGGAAAGAUGAAAAGCACUUUGGAAAGAGAGUGAAACAGUACGUGAAAUUGUUGAAAGGGAAGCGUUUGAAGUCAGUCACAUCUGUUGGAAUUCAGCCUGGCUUCUGCCUGGUGUACUUUCUGGCUGAUGGGUCAGCAUCAAUUUCGACCGAGGGAAAAAGACUUGAGGAAUGUGGCUGUCUUCGGGCAGUGUUAUAGACUCUUGUUGUAUGUCUCGGUUGGGAUUGAGGAACGCAGCACGCCUUUUGGCCGGGGUUCGCGCCCUCGGUACGUGCUUAGGAUGCUGGCAUAAUGGCUUUAAGCGACCCGUCUUGAAACACGGACCAAGGAGUCUAACAUGUGCGCGAGUGUUUGGGUGUUAAACCCGGGCGCGUAAUGAAAGUGAAAGGUCGGGAUCAUGUACUUGUGCACCGACGCCCGGAGCAGACCUUCUGUGACGCAUCCGCGGUAGAGCGUAUAUGUUGGGACCCGAAAGAUGGUGAACUAUGCCUGAAUAGGGUGAAGCCAGAGGAAACUCUGGUGGAGGCUCGUAGCGAUUCUGACGUGCAAAUCGAUCGUCAAAUUUGGGUAUAGGGGCGAAAGACUAAUCGAACCAUCUAGUAGCUGGUUCCUGCCGAAGUUUCCCUCAGGAUAGCAGAAACUCAUUAUCAGCCUUGUGCGGUAAAGCGAAUGAUUAGAGGCCUGGGGGUUGAAACAACCUUCACCUAUUCUCAAACUCUAAAUGUGCAAGACAGA